UCCCUGGAGGACUAGUGGCUAGGCUAAAGUGUGCUCACCGCUGUGGCCUGGGUUCGAUUCCCAGGCAGGGAA